GUGACAGUAGCGUCGGGUUGGUGACGUCAGACGUCGUAAACCAGAGCUCCUCCAGCGUUCACUUUUGACUCUUCUGCACACUUUUCUCCGUGGCUUUUCUCUUCUGCCACCAUGUUGGGAGUUUAUACAUCUCCACUUUGUGCUCUCUUACUUUUCUGCGUUGUUUUCACAGCAGCAGACGAAGCGACUCCGUCUCCAGCUCCGGCUCCCUGCACCCAGAGAUCCAACACUAGUUGUGCUGAAUGUCUGCAGAAUGUGGCUUGUUUGUGGUGUUCCUCGACCCAACAAUGCUUGGACUACCCAGUGAAGAACAUCCUUCCCCCUAACAGUGUUUGCCCCCUAAAUGGUGCACGGUGGGGGGUAUGUUGGGUAAACUUCCAGAUUUUGAUCAUCACUAUGUCAGUGCUGGCCGGCAUCAUCAUCAUCACCGUGGUUGUUUGCUGCCUGUGCUGCUGCUGCAAGUGUGAGAGGAUUGGAAACAAGAGAGAAGAUGCUCAAAUGGAGAGACAAACCCGAGCGAGGAAGGCCCGUCAGAAAGCGAGGUGAAUGGCUGUUGAGGGGACUGAGAUACAGCUGAGACAUGAUGAAAUCCGGCAGAAAUAUGGUCUGGCAAAGGAUAAUCCAUACGCUCGCAUGGACGACCGCUAAGAAGGAUCUCAGUGUUGGUUUUAUGAAAUGGGCUAUUUUGAUGCCAGUAACAAACUGUCAUUAUCUAGAUUAAUUUCAUUUUGUCAUCAUUUCAAAAACACCUCUUUAUGUUUUUUACGUGAAAUUGAUGGUCUCUAACAUCCUAAUUUGUUUACAAUGACUGUUAAACUAAUGUUUUUGUUCCAAACAUUUAAGUAGAUUUAAGAAGAAACAUUUUGGCAUUUGUUCAAAUAAGCAAACAUGCUGCAGAAGCAUGCAAUAAAAGGUAGUGACAUAGUUUGUAUGGGUCACUAUAGUGAAGCUAUAGUUUUGUCUAAAGCAACAUUUUUUCUUUAAAAUAUUCUUAGAUAAAAUUGAUUUUCCACUUGUUUUAACCUCUAUUAGUUUUAGUAUCACGGCUUUACUGAAAAUGUUUAAUAACUGAGUCAACUGAUUUUUGUGCUGUUGGUAAAUUUGUAAACAUACUUUAGAAAAUUAAAUGAAUGACAAAAAAAACUUUUGUUUGAAUUGCAAUUUUCUUACAUGUAUGCAUGUUCUCACACAUGUCUGAAUUUUAGGGGAAUUUGCAUCACCACAUCAAACCUGGUGAAAAACAUUUAUGAUUGUGAAAUUUAUUAUUUUAUGUAUACACAUGUUCCAGGUCAUCAGCUCAUGUUGUAGCAUUUUAAUCGUAAAAUAAAUCAUCAAACGCCUGCAAAUUACUAGAUUUCAUGCAUUAUUGGUCUUGUCUGUCUUCACCUGUGACCCAUCAGUGGUUUGGGGCCAACCUUCAAGAAAAUAAAAUGUAUUUUUUAACAUC